CAGGAGCAGGGAAGAGUUACACCAUGAUGGGAAGACAGGAAGAGGGACAGGAGGGGAUCAUUCCCCAGCUGUGUGAGGAUUUGUUUAAGAGGACAGUUGGAAACACAGAUCCUGAUCUCUCCUUCUCAGUGGAGGUGUCCUACAUGGAGAUCUACUGUGAGAGGGUGCGUGACCUGUUGAACCCUAAGUCGAAGGGUACACUCCGUGUUAGGGAGCACCCUAUAAUGGGACCGUACGUUGAAGAUCUGUCUAAACUGGCUGUGACCGGAUACAAUGACAUUCAGGACCUAAUGGACUGUGGAAACAAA